rnacentral:rRNA from 1 species
UACGGAGGGUGCGAGCGUUGUCCGGAAUCACUGGGCGUAAAGGGCGCGUAGGCGGCAUGCCAAGCGUGUGGUGAAAGCCCGGGGCUCAACCCCGGGUCGGCCGUGCGGACUGGCGUGCUCGAGCACUGUAGGGGCGGGUGGAAUUCCGGGUGUAGCGGUGAAAUGCGUAGAGAUCCGGAAGAACACCGGUGGCGAAGGCGGCCCGCUGGGCAGGAAGGCUCGCAAGAGCCGGCUGACGCUGAGGCGCGACAGCGUGGGGAGCAAACAGG